rnacentral:rRNA from 1 species
GCCAGCAUGUAAUGGUGGGGACUCUAAACAGACUGCCUGUGCAAACAGAGAGCAAGGAGGGGACGACGUCAAGUCAUCAUGGCCCUUACGUCCGGGGCUACACACGUGCUACAAUGGACGGUACAGAGGGCAGCUAUACAGCAAUGUAAUGCGAAUCUCACAAAGCCGUUCACAGUUCGGAUUGGGGUCUGCAACUCGACCCCAUGAAGUUGGAUUCGCUAGUAAUCGCGUAUCAGCAAUGACGCGGUGAAUACGUU